CCUACGGGAGGCAGCAGUGGGGAAUAUUGGACAAUGGGGGGAACCUUGAUCCAGCGACGCCGCGUGAGUGAAGAAGUAUUUCGGUAUGUAAAGCUCUAUCAGCAGGGAAGAAAAUGACGGUACCUGACUAAGAAGCCCCGGCUAACUACGUGCCAGCAGCCGCGGUAAUACGUAGGGGGCAAGCGUUAUCCGGAUUUACUGGGUGUAAAGGGAGCGUAGACGGUGCAGCAAGUCUGAUGUGAAAGGUCGGGGCCCAACCCCGGGACUGCAUUGGAAACUGUUGAACUGGAGUACAGGAGAGGUAGGCGGAAUUCCUAGUGUAGCGGUGAAAUGCGUAGAUAUUAGGAGGAACACCAGGGGCGAAGGCGGCUUACUGGAACAUGACUGACGCUGAUGCACGAAAGCGUGGGGAGAAAACAGGAUGAGAUACCCUUGUAGUC
rnacentral:rRNA from 1 species